AGAGUUUGAUCCUGGCUCAGGAUGAACGCUAGCGGCGUGUCUAAGGCAUGCAAGUCGAUCGAUACAGAGGCAAACGGGUGAGUAAGACAGUGAUAACCUACCCCACAGACGAGGACAACCUUUAGAAAUGAAGGCUAAUACUCGAUAGUCAUACCUUUAAUCAAUUAUAGGUAUGUAAAACUCCGGUGCUGUGGGAGGGGUCUUUGCACUAUCAGCUUGUUGGUGAGGUAAUGGCUCACCAAGGCUACGACGGUUAACGGGUGUGAGAGCACGACCCGUCACACUGGGACUGAGACACUGCCCAGACACCUACGGGUGGCUGCAGUCAAGAAUCUUCCACAAUGGGCGCAAGCCUGAUGGAGCGACGCCGCGUGCAGGAAGACGCCUUUCGGGGUGUAAACUGCUUUUAUGUGGGAAAAACUAGCGAUGGUACCACAUGAAUAAGGGGCUGCUAAUCACGUGCCAGCAGCAGCGGUAAUACGUGAGCCCCAAGCGUUAUCCGGAUUUACUGGGCGUAAAGAGCUAAAAGGUGGUCGUGUAAGUCAAGUAUUAAAGCCCGGAGCUCAACUCCGGUUAUGUACUUGAAACUGCACGACUUGAGGAUGGAAGAGGUAAGCGGAAUUAUCGGUGUAGCAGUAAAAUGCGUUAAUAUCGAUAGGAACUCCAAAAGCGAAGGCAGCUUACUGGGACAAUCCUGACACUAAAUAGCGAAAGCGUGGGGAGCGAAGGGGAUUAGAUACCCCCGUAGUCCACGCCGUAAACGUUGGAUACUAGGUAUUGGAAGAUUCGACCCUUUCAGUAUCGCUUAGCAAACGCGUUAAGUAUCCCGCCUGGGGAGUACGACCGCAAGGUUAAAACUCAAAGGAAUUGACGGGGAUCCGCACAAGCGGUGGAGCAUGUGGUUUAAUUCGACGAUAAGCGUGGAACCUUACCAGGGUUUGACAUCUAGAGAAAGUCCCAGAAACGGGACCGUGCCUUCGGGAACUCUAUGACAGGUGAUGCAUGGUUGUCGUCAGCUCGUGCCGUGAGGUGUACCCUUAAGUGGGGUAACGAGCGCAACCCUUAUCCUAUGUUAAAUGUACAUGGGAGACUGCCGGUGAUAAACCGGAGGAAGGUGGGGAUGACGUCAAAUCAGCAUGUCCCUUAUACCCUGGGCUACACACGUGCUACAAUGGAAGUGACAAAGGGAAGCCAAGUCGCAAGACGGAGCAAAUCCCAUCAAACGCUUCCCCAGUUCGGAUUGCAGGCUGCAACUCGCCUGCAUGAAGUUGGAAUCGCUAGUAACCGUAUAUCAGCCAUGGUACGGUGAAUACGUUCUCGGAUCUUGUACACACCGCCCGUCACAUCAAGGGAGCCGGUAAUACCCGAAGGCCCUCCAGUUAGGGGGGACGAAGGUAGGACUGGUGACAAGGAUGAAGUCGUAACAAGGCACCCGUAGCGGAAGCUGUGGGUG
rnacentral:rRNA from 1 species